rnacentral:lncRNA from 1 species
AAGCUGAUGUAUUUUUUUUGUUAACUCGAUCAAUAGUAGCCUCCAAAGUACAUUGAAGUGAGAUACUCUGCCCAGCUACACCUGUAGGACUCAAACCAAGAGUCUGCUCAUUUUGAACCUCUUCGAAAACCUUGCUGACUGCUUCAACUAGGAGAGUAUCAGUCCCUUUAGCAACAAUUAUACUUUGUACCCCUGCCGUCUCAAUCGAAAAUGGAAAACCCCUUUUUUUAUUAUAACUUCUCAGCUAUUUUACCAUCAUUAUACAGUAGUUCCUCUUCUCUUUGUACAACAACCUGU